UUUAAAGUGGAUUUAAAAAAUGACCUCUUUUCUCAUAUCUGGCAAACACAAUAGUUUUAAUGCUUAAUUCUUACCUAUAUAAGACUUAUCUGCUUCAAAGUUUCAAACAAAUUCUGUUUCGAAGAAAAUCAAAUUUUGAGUAAGACUGAUCUCAGAAGGCCUAAAUAUGAAGCUGCUGAUUUUUGCUGUUGUCCUUUUCGUCGUUGCAACUUCUCUCGCUUCUCCAGCGAAAGAUGAAUCUCCGAUGGAGCAGCAAGAAAGAGGCUCAUUCUGUAAAGAUUUUAAAGAAAGCUGCAUUAAGAAAGAGGAUUGCUGCAGGGGUCAGUGUCUCUGCAACUUUGCUGGUGGUAACUGCGUCUGCGCCCCAGAAGGCAUAGUGACAUAGGAAAUGAAACACGAACAUCCUGGAUAUCCGUUUGAAUCAGUUAGUAAAUUGGGAAUUUGCUGAAAAUAAAAAUGCAUGAUAUAAACA